ensembl:lncRNA
CAAGUAGUGUGGAUGAAAUGGAAGAAAUGGAGAAAAGGUUGGAGAAAAGGCUUGGAGAAGCAACAGCUGUGCUGGAGUGUGAUCACCACUAUGAAUACUGGUGGUCUCUCACUAUGGGUGAUUGUUCUGAUGAUACAGAGUGGAAUGAUGAUGUUCAAGAAUCUGAAUGGUCUGUAAUGGAAAGACAUAGGAAGAAGAGCGAUCAUGAUACUGAAAGCGGUCAUGGUGGGCCAGGGUGGGAUGUACCAGUCCAUAGCCAUGUUCAUAGUGGCAUACCUCAUCAGUUUGACUGUUCUGUUGGUCAGUGCCAUCGCCAGCGGGGCUCUGGAUGCUGGCUGCGCCUACUGUGUCCUUAGCACCACUGAUCUUGGACCAGGUGUUGCCUGCUGAAUACUGGUGGUCUCUGCUCUAUGGCAAGGCCAUUCUUCUCUGCCUCUUCUGUCGGAUUAGCGCUCACAUCUAUGCCAAGGCCGUCUUCCUAAUUUUCAAUAAUCGUCAUGUCGGUCCUGGCCACCUUCAUCCUCAGUUUCUUCGCUGUGGGCCCGCGGGACAUCACACUGCCCUACGCUCCUGGUGCCAACACUACCACCGGCCUGGGCACUGCCAACUUCACUGACCAUUGCCUGGCAACCCCGAGGGACAACCUCUGACUACACAGGAGACUACACCACAGGCACCAUGAUGACAUUUACACCAUGUUUGCUGUCAUGUUCAACGGCUGUACAGGCAUCAUAGUUCUAGUUCCAACAUGUCAGGGGACCUGAAAAGCCCAAGCCCAAGAGCCCAAGUCCUCAGGGGAACCCUGGCAGCAGUCAUCUUAACCUUCAUCUCCUACAGUAUUCCUGCUCAGCCUGCUGGUGGCCUACUCCUGUGACCGUCAUCUUCUCCAGAGGGACUACAGUUUCCUGGGGGACAUCAACGUGAGGGGCCCCCUGGUGACAGUGGGGGUGUACUCCUCUACCCUGUCUGCUGCCGUAAGUAACCUUAGCGGGACCUCCCACAUCCUCUGAGCACUCCCCAGGGACCACCUGGCGAGUGGUAAGGCUGAAAUAACAUCAAGUCUGCACAUCUUGAUUGACACCAUCUCCCUCAAAGGU